GAUAAACCGGAGGAAGGUGGGGAUGACGUCAAGUCAGCAUGGCCUUUAUGUCUGGGGCUACACACGUGCUACAAUGGCCGGUACAAAGCGUCGCAAGACCGCAAGGUGGAGCUAAUCGCAUAAAGCCGGUCUCAGUUCGGAUUGUCGGCUGCAACUCGCCGGCAUGAAGUUGGAAUCGCUAGUAAUCGCGGGUCAGCACGCCGCGGUGAAUACGUUCCCGGGCCUUGUACACACCGCCCGUCACAUCACGAAAGCUGGCUGUACUAGAAGUCGCCGCGCUAACCCGCAAGGGAGGCAAGCGCCUAAGGUAUGGUUAGUGAUUGGGGUGAAGUCGUAACAAGGUAGCUGUAGGAGAACCUGCGGCUGGAUCACCUCCUUAAUCUAGAUGCAUCGCAGUC
rnacentral:rRNA from 1 species